ACAAUCUGAGUGCUCCAGGGUGGUGUGGGUGGUGAGGAUGGAGUCGUAGAGCUCAACUACUGCUGUGGAAACUUGGAGGAUGGGGGGUUGCUGAGUAAAUGGAGAACUGCAGCUUGGACUUCUUGUCAUAAUCAACAGAAAGACAUACCAUCAGCAGGGAGUUGAACCCAGAACCAGUCUGUUCACCAAAACUGUGGAAAACUAAGAAGCCCUAAAGAUCUGUGCACUGAUCAGCCAGCUUGUGAACUCAGUCCAAGAUGAGGUCAACGAUCUCCUUGUCAAUGAUGUAGUGGCCUCAUGCAUAGCCAUUGGCAGCAUCUUCCUUGUCUGGGAUGAGCUUCUCAGGGUGGAAGAGGUGGCUAGUAGGUGUCAGGGUAAACUGUGUUAAUAACUGUGGGUUCCAGGUCUACAAACACGGUCCUGGGCACAUGCUUUUCAGUGCCUGUCUCACUGAAGAAGGUGUUAAAGGAGUCAUCUCCCCCUCAAAUUGUCUUGUCUUGUCACUUGGCAUCUGGCCAUGGUGCUGGAUGCCAUGUUCCAGGCAGUAGAGUUACCAGCUGGAGCUGCCUGUCUGGACACCAGGCUGGCCAAUGUGGAUGGAGAUGCGCUCACACAUAGUGGCUAAGAGUUAGGAGGCUAAAGCGACAGGAGCAGAUAACGGGUCCAAUGACCGAUCCCAACAAGCUAAGAGUCAAGGCUAAGUUUUAAGGAAGCUUACUACUGCAGUACUGCUUUUGUAAGAGAGUGCCAAGCAGCUGGGGAAACAUGAUACAAGAGGCACUGGUUUUGGAGAAAAGAAAAAGGCAGAAGCUGGAAGACCCUUGGGGCUACUCAAGUGAAGCAGUAGAAGUGGACAAGGAACAAAAAAAUCUACUCACAGCUGGAGAAAAUUUGUGUCAAAAUGAAUCAUGUUUUGAAUCUUCUCUCAUGUCAGAUUUAGAUAACUGUUUGGACUAUGGACCUCUUAGUUGAUGCUGGAAAGUGUUAAGAUUUUGGGGACUAUUAAGGUGAAAUAAAUGUAUUUUGCAUGUGAGAAAGACAUUAAUUUUGGGGGCUGUGGUGGAGAGCUAUGGCUUGAAUGUGUCCCCUAAGAAGCAUGUGUUGGAAACUUAAUCCCCAGUGCAACAGUGUUGGAAAGUUGGGCGUAAGAAAAGAUGUUUAUGUCAUAAGGGCUCCACCCACAUGAAUGCAUUAUUACUGAUUGUUAAAAGGCUUGAGGCUGCAAGUUUGAUCUCUCUCAUACACAAGCAUAUGUGGUUUCUUGCUCUUCUGUCUUUCACCAUGGGAUGGCUCAGUGAGAAGACUCUAACCAGAUGUAGGCCCCCUUGACUUUGAACUUCUCAGCCUCUAGAGCUGUAAGAAAUAAAUCACUGCUUUUUAAAUAAAUUAUCCAGUUUCAGAUAUUCUUUUAUAGCAGCAAAAAAUGGACUAUGACAUGGAGCUUUGAGAGACAUCUGAUAAAAAUAAAAUUUAAGUGAAAACGUGGGCAGAUAGGAUGAGAACCUGUCCCAUGAAAAAACCCUGCGUAGUCACUAGGUGAGAGAAGAAAUUCAGAACACCAUGUCUUCACUCUAUAUGUGUACAUCCUAGAGAUGAAGAAUUAUAGAUUAAAAAACCAAAAUUACUAUUUAAUUAUUUUAUAUAACAAAAUGAGACACUACCAUCACUUUUUGAGACACUUAUAUCUAUGUCAACCAAAAAGCAAAUCCCAAUUUUUCUUCCCCAUACAACAGACCAUCACAUAAACUCCGCCCUGUGAGGGCCCAGGCCAUCUAAUUACAGCAUUGCAGCUAUCACAACUAAGCCAAGUAUCUCAGGAGAAAAAAAGCUACCUGUUUCUAGCCACACAAUUAAGCCAUGUAAACACGUGUCAUACUUUGUGUCAAAGCAGUGAUAGUACCAGUUACUUAGAGAUGAUUAACUGGUGCUUGGGACUGGAGCAGCCUUGAGACAAGAAUAUCACUCAUCAGUCCCAAAGAAAUGGCAGAGGAGGAACCAUGGCUGGAAAAGCAGAUGCUAUAGUGGAAGACAACCUUUUAGGCUUCCUCAAAAGCCUGGAGUUGGGGUAUCUUGCUGGUAAUUGAAAUUCCUAUGUAAAAUGUUGGAAUAAAGAAUAAAGUUAAUUUGGGUGUGUUCUAUUUUUUCCACAUAAACUUGCAAGUUAGACCUACAGUUUUUGCUUAUGUAUCAAUGUUAUAAUAUGCUACUUUAACACUAGUGCUAGUAUAUUAAUCCUAUGAGUUCAACUGUGUAAUUUUCAUUUUUUUGCUGUGUUUUAUAGGAUUUUAUGUAGUUUAAUGUUUUCCUCCAUAUCUGAAAUAAAAUUUUAAAAAGUGUG